rnacentral:lncRNA from 1 species
AAAAAAAAAAGGAAAAAGUUUUUGUUGGUUUACAGAUGUUUUUCUUGUUCUAAGGCUGCUUUUGUUUUUAAGGUCAUGGGCCAUUUUCUCACAUGUUUGAUGGACGAUUUAUUCCACUUGCUCGCCCGGAGGUGAAAUGGACGCAUGAACAAGGCUCAGUUAUGAUGUUUGAGCACCUUAUUAAUUCUAAUGGAAUUAAGCCUGUCAUGGAACAAUAUGGUCUCAUCCCUGAAGAAGAUAUUUGCUUUAUAAAGGAACAAAUUGUAGGACCACUUGAAUCACCUGUCGAAGAUUCAUUGGUAAGUUUAUGUACAGCUUAAUUUUAACUGACUGGUGCUUUUCAUCUAGCCUUUUCAUGAUUCCUUCUGAGUUAUACAUUUGGCUAUUUUAGAGGCUAAAUGAUAAAAUAUGAGUUCUAUGUUUCUACUGUUUAAUGCAAAAAAUAAAAGGCUUAUAUUUUUUUCUACCUCUCAACUGAAUUAGUUAGAAGUUACUUCC